GUAACCAUCAUCUGAAGAUUUCUUUACAAUAUUGUUAGGUGGGUGUACUUCGGCAUCAGAAAUGAUUAUGGUGCUUCUGUGGGUGAGCCUAAUGAACUAUGAGCAAUUACAUCUUUUCAUUCAAUAUAUGAAAGAUUGAAAAUUGAAAAAGCAGAUGGGUGGCUUAUUAUGUGACUCACUGAAAGCACGGAAGGUCAGGAGUGUUGAUGUUUGCCUAACACAAUAACUCAAGCUUCAAUACAGUU